GUGGGGAAUAUUGGACAAUGGGCGAAAGCCUGAUCCAGCCAUGCCGCGUGAGUGAUGAAGGCCUUAGGGUUGUAAAGCUCUUUCAGUAGGGAAGAUAAUGACGGUACCUACAGAAGAAGCCCCGGCUAACUUCGUGCCAGCAGCCGCGGUAAUACGAAGGGGGCUAGCGUUGUUCGGAUUUACUGGGCGUAAAGCGCACGUAGGCGGAUUGGUCAGUUAGAGGUGGAAUCCUGGAGCUCAACACCAGAACUGCCUUUAAUACUGCCAGUCUAGAGUCCAGAAGAGGUGAGUGGAACUCCUAGUGUAGAGGUGGAAUUCGUAGAUAUUAGGAAGAACACCAGUGGCGAAGGCGGCUCACUGGUCUGGUACUGACGCUGAGGUGCGAAAGCGUGGGGAGCAAACAGGAUUAGAUACCCGAGUAGUCC
rnacentral:rRNA from 1 species